rnacentral:lncRNA from 1 species
GUCUGGUCCAGCUACUAAAGUAUCCGAAUAUUGCAUCUCCUCGUACUGUUGGUGCAGGGCGUAUUAUGUGACUAGUUAUCUGAACAGUAUAUCAUCUAUAAGUCUGCUAUGUGUAUUGGGUAUGUGCCGUGUUUGAUGUUUCUAAGCAACUUUGUAAUGUGGGAUGACAAUCGGACGUAUGGAAACAACUUGUGUUUGUCUUGAUUUCGCCUGCAAUUUCGAUUCCAAUAAAGAUGUUAUACAUGUUUCUCUAGCACGGUCUUUUUCUGAUAGUUUAUGUUAUUAUAUUUAUUAUUUUCCUUAUUAUUAUAAGAAAAGGGAUAUGACGGGGGUUGAUGAUCUUGUAGUAGUCUGUCUGGGAUAGUGAUUGUGGGGUGCAAUGACUGCAAUAUGCUAGUUCUUUUGACCUCACAACCCUGGUGACCCUGAUCGAAACUGAUUUCUCAUGGAAAGUGAGUAAAAUGUGCAACGAGACUUUUUUUGUUUUCAAAGUGGCUUUAACUAGACUAGGUAUGGCAAGAAAUUAAAUUACACAGUUUAUGAGUAUUAUUCUCAAGAGGUUUUCUUGAGCUUUCUCGGCUUUUUGCCUGCUUCAGUACUCGUGUUGAGAUUCUACACAAUUUUUAGAUUAAGCAUUUUUUCGACCAGGGUUUUUAGACCAACCUUGACUCGUGUUUUUUAACCAGCUCGAGAAUUUUUGUGUUUGAAAACAGUUCAUAUGAAAUGGAAAUUUCUCUCGACACAGAGGAAAUCAUCAUUUGAUCUGGGGUCGGGCCUUGUUUGGCUAAACGGGGGGUCCAAAGAGGAAAUCAUCGACGCAGAUCCUCCCUAGGCAAAGAUAUUAUUUCUGAAUUUAAGUCUGAGCUUUCUCUCAUUUGUCACUGAUAGUGGCAAGUGAGCUCUGUAUUAAACGUUAUCGAGAGUGGGGCCCACGCAUGAAAAGAUCCGAAGCUCCGUGACAGUGAAGUACACUGUGGACUGCUUCAUGUGUGCCACUUGUGGCAGAGACGGAUAACUAUUCCCCCGCUACUUCUUCUUCUUAAUUUCUUGUUUCUUAUCAAGUCACGUGACCGAGAGCAGUAUAUACAUCUUGUAAAAACCAAGACGACAUUUAUUUUUUAUUUUUUUUUAUCGGAGACGACAUUAAUUCUGUGUAUUCUUAUUUCAUGAAAAUCUUAUAUAAUAAAAGUCAAUUAUCUUCUUCUUUUUUUGAGAAAAAAUGAAGCUUUAUUCAAUUCAUACAUGCAAGUACAAAUGACAUAAGUGCGGGAAAGUCAACAAUGAGUCCAUGACAAUAUAAUCUAAUUAGAAAAUCAUGAUCAAAAUCGCAUAUUCGCUACAUGCAAUCUUCAUAAAAAUACAUAUUUAUAACCGAAAGCGGAAGAAAUGGAAAAAUGUCAUCACUUUCUUCUCAAACCUAAUCUAAAGUUUAUUUCAUUAAAAUCUUACUUGAAUAAACUCUAGUAUGACAAAACUCUGAAUCGAUGAAAGAGUACCACACUACCACCUACUAAAAGUGUAAUGCAACUAUUUGUAACAUAAAUGAUCAUGAAGUUGGGCUUGAUUACACAAGGCCCAUUUGUUCUUUCGAACCAAAAUCAAUGAUGUAAAAAACUAUUCCUAAUCAACUACGAGCAACCAACAAUAUCUCCCACUUCCCGAAACAGAAGGGUCGAUUAUUUGACUUGCUUCACAAGAGAGAUGUGAAAUAACCUUCUGAAUCUUGUUGCAACUGCUCCUCCUCCACUAAUGCCAAAAUUUGAAGACUACAUAUCACAUGGUAUCUCUAAAAUCAUGAGAUACAUACUUUCGUUAUGAUUUUUAAUUUCAAAACAAGUCAGAAAGUUAUAUCUAUUAUAGACGACUAAAAUUCAGUAAUCAACACCAACUAAAAAUUUUCUAUAGAUAUUCGUUGUAAAUAGAGAUUCACUCUCACGAACACCUAUUAACCAAAUUUCUUUUAUCAACUUAGAGCGUUUGACGAUCUCUUAGUAAAUAGACCAUAGUUUUUUAAAAAUAGAAAUGAAUUUGCUUGUUUAAAUUUGGAUUCUCAAAAAAUAAAAAAUAAAAAGGGGGAAAAAUUGUUGUCGUCACACAAGUCACGUGACCAGAACCAUAUACGGAUACACACGAAAAAGGUAACAUAACGUCAUAAUACACAAAAAGUCGUACAAACUACAAUCCAACAAAUUCUAGAUCCUUCAUAUCCUAUCCUCACCUCACGCGUCCGUCCCCCCUCCCAUUUCCCCAGAUAUUUGCUCUCCUCCCUCCACCUUAAAUACACUCCUCUCCACUCUCCUCACUCCUCACUCUUCACUCUCAUCUCCUCCUCCCCUUCCAAAUCUUCACACAAAAAAUCCUAAUCCCAAAUCUCUCUCCUACAAAAAUGGCAUCCAUGGCUUCCACACUCGCCGCCUCCUCCCUCUCCACCAAGCUCCACAAGCCAUCUCUCCUCGACACCUCCUCCUCCUUCCACGGCGCUCCCCUCGCCCGCGUCCAGCCCCUCAAGGCCGCCUCCUCCUCCAACGGCCACGGCCUCUCCGUCUCCAUGUCCGCCUCCACCAACGCCUACGAUCUCUCCAACUUCAAGUUCGAGCCUAUCAAGGAGUCCAUCGUCUCCCGCGAGAUGACCCGCCGCUACAUGACUGACAUGAUCACCUACGCUGACACCGACGUCGUCGUCGUCGGCGCCGGCUCUGCGGGGCUUUCCUGCGCGUACGAGCUCAGCAAGAACCCCGAUGUGCAGGUUGCGAUCAUUGAGCAGUCCGUCAGCCCCGGAGGCGGCGCGUGGCUCGGUGGCCAGCUCUUCUCCGCCAUGGUAUUGUAACGCUUUCCUUUUAAUCUGGAUUUCUGGUUUUCGAAAUGUUGUUUAUCUGGAAACUGGAUAUGACACGUGUUUGCAUGCCUGAUUUUACGAAUUAUCCUCUAGAUUAUGAUAUUGUUUUUUUUUUUUUUGGCAAAAUUUUGAAUAUAUAUAGCUGAUAAUGCCAUAAUGGGUUAGGAAUUUCAAUUAAAAUUUAAAAUUUAUAUGAUUGAUUUGUAGUUUGAUAAAUUAUGGAGUGUACACAAAGUUUAGCAGAUUUUUUUUUUUUUUAUCAAACAAACAACUGAAAUACUACUACAGGGAAGACUGAUGCCACUAGACCAAAUGGUACUGGGUCAAAGUUUAGCAGAUUAGUUUGAUCAGAUCCAUGCAAAAACUUAAUUUUAUAAUAACAGUGAUUUGUAUUGUUAGCAUAGAGAUAUAAAAUUUCUUAGUUUUCCACAGAAAAAAAAAUGAAGGGUGGAAAGUUCCUUAAUAUUUAUGUCAAAACUGUUUCCAUACCCCUGAGUAAUUAGUUGUUUUGCUAGCCUAAAUGUGUUCAUUGUGUAAUUGGUAGUUUUCUCCGAAUAUAUACUGUAACUAAAUUAAAAGUUCACUUCUUGUAUUAAUAGGUUGUGAGGAAACCAGCACAUCACUUCCUCAGUGAGUUGGGCAUUGACUACGACGAGAAGGAUGACUACGUCGUCAUCAAGCAUGCUGCCCUGUUCACCUCGACCAUCAUGAGCAAGCUCCUUGCUCGGCCCAAUGUGAAACUCUUCAACGCCGUAGCGGCUGAGGAUUUGAUCAUCAAGGGUGGGAGAGUUGGCGGUGUUGUCACCAACUGGUCCUUGGUCUCCCAAAACCAUGACACACAGUCAUGCAUGGACCCCAACGUUAUGGAAGCCAAGGUGGUGGUUAGCUCAUGCGGUCACGAUGGCCCCAUGGGAGCCACCGGUGUGAAGAGGUUGAGGAGUGUUGGAAUGAUUGACAGCGUGCCUGGGAUGAAGGCCUUGGACAUGAAUGCAGCUGAGGAUGCCAUUGUGAAGCUAACCAGGGAAAUCGUGCCUGGAAUGAUUGUUACUGGCAUGGAAGUUGCUGAGAUUGAUGGAUCUCCAAGAAUGGUAUAUUUCUUCUCAAUGAUCUUUUUAUGUUCCUUGUUAUGUGCUCUCUUUAUGUUGGGCAAUUAUUAGUGCUAAGCUUUACUGCUUUUGCAUAUAUCUAAUGUUUGAUUUCUGGACCAUUUUAGAUAAACAAAUUAGGUACCAUUGUCUUGGAUGACUUUGGCCAUCUCCCCAAAAUUGCUUGAUUUGUUUAUUUUUCUUUUUUCUUUGUGUGUCCUUUUUUGCCAUAAAUUUGGACAAGUUAGAACCCAUUAAGAAUUAAAUUUGCAUGAUUUUUUGGUUUAGGGUCUUUCAGCAAGUUGCUAUGUAUAGAAAAUUGUGAUAUGACAGUGAGUGCAUAUAUUUUGGGGUAGCAGGUGGUUUUAGCAAUGCAAAAGGUCUCUUUAUGAUACCAAUGUCAUAGUACUGCUACCUAGUGUAAUUUUGAUUAUGUGCACUCUGACCAAACUGAGUGUGAUUUCACUCCUACACUAUAGUGGAUACUGCUGUGAGUGUUUUGAGAAUGUGCCAAUAAUACUCCCUCUUUGAUAGUGUUACCAUGGAAAUAUAUGUCCUUUCAAUCAUGAAAGGUGGAGUAGACCCACACUAAUAUCGCACCCUCAAUAAUAGAAGCUAGGAUCCCAAAAACCAUUUUGAUUGCUUACCUUUCCUAAUCCAUAAAAUAAAAUCCCUUUAUUGGAGGGAGGAAAUUUCCACUCUGUUUUGUUCCUGUUGUAUUAUGCACUUGGUUAUACUUGAUUACAAGACUAAGAAGCAAGACUCUGUUUAUACUUGUAUUAUGCACUUGGUUAUACUUGCAGACUCUGUUUUGUUCCUUGUUUUGUUUUUGCCUUCUUUGUUUUCGAAAGGGUUCCAUUACAUUACUUGAUUGUGGUCCUUGGGUGUGGGGUGUGGGCGUGACUAUGACCAAUACUAAUUGCAUUUUGGGCAUUAUUGGUGUCGCAGGGACCUACAUUUGGAGCUAUGAUGAUCUCGGGGCAAAAGGCUGCCCACUUGGCACUCAAGGCACUAGGCCUUCCCAAUGCUCUUGAUGGAUCAUAUGUUGGAGGCAUCCAACCAGAGCUGAUCUUAGCUGCUGCAGAAUCUGCUUCUGAGAUUGCAGAUGCUUAAUUGUGCCGUUGUAGUAGAUGAUGAUGUUUCAAUAAAACUGGGGAAACAAAAUCGAGCAGGAACUAGUAGCGAUUAGGAGCAAGUAAAUGGUGGCCAGUGAUGAUGGUGUGUGGAUGUGACUGGUAAAUUUUGUUAAUAAUGUGGUUGUACUUGUGAUCACUCUGUUGGAAUGAAAAUCACAGCAUGUCUUGCUUUCUGUGGCUCUGUAUCUUGUUUGGUUUCUUCUUUGGAGUCGAAUUCCUAGUAAAUUGCAUUUUCCCCUGUUUACAUUCCCUUAUCCUGUAGGGUGUGUUUGGUUUUGAGUUAUUGGCUGGCUUACCAUUUAAGUUGGUAAGAGCUGAUUUCAUAUUCUAUAUCUAUGAAGUUCAUAAUAUGAACCUGCAGAGCUUGCAUGCCUGUGUAGCUGCUGAGUGGCCCGAAUUCAGAAUUUAGGUGCAGCUAAUAUCAAUUCCUGUUUUUGAUUUGGUGUCUGCCAGUGUUGUAGCGUUGUAGCAACUGAUAACAAUAGGAGAUGAUUUGAAAUUUUGUUCGGUUUUAAAGAAUUUUGAGAAUACAAGGGUAUAUAUGAUUAAAAAAAAAAUAUCAAGAACACAAUAAAAGAUGACUCAAAGUUCAGAUAGUAGAUUGAAUUUAAUCUUAAAAAUAAAAAUCUAACAAUUCCUUUCCUCAGGCCAAAGCAAACCUAAGGACACCAUCGUCCGAAAUCUUAUUUAGGAAGAUCUAAGGCCAUGUUUGUUUCAUGGAAUCAAAUAGUGGGAAAGAAAAGUUAUUAUUUUCUUGUGUUUGGAAACCUAAGGAAAAUAGGGGGAAAGGAAAUUGGUUCUCAGUAGGAAAAUAGAUGGGAAAGUUGUUCCCUUCACCCAACCAAAUGAAUCACUUUCUCUCCCAAUUUCUUGUAAUUAUUACACCAUUUUUUUUUAUUAAAUUGACCCCAUUAAGUUAGUGUUUACCAUUUUUAACCACAUGUUUUUUAAAAAAAUUAUAGGAUUUUGUUUCCUUUCCUUAUGAGUACCAAACACUUGAAAGGAAAAUAAAUAGGAAUUAUAAUUUUCCAUGUUAAUGGAAAAUGCAAAGAAUUUGGUUCCUUUCCCUUCCUUUCUAUGAAACAAACGAGGAUGCCGUCAGGGAAACGAGAAGGACGAAGAUUGCUGAAAUCAAAUCUGCUAUCCAGUGGGAUCCACUUUUGGGGGCUUGAAUGGACCACCUCCUUACCGUUAUAGGUAUCAAGAUCGUACAAGAAUUCACACAGCUCCAGAUAACAUGUUUCAUUCAAGGCGUCCACAUCGAGAUCACUCAAGUCAAUGGCGGAGNNNNNNNNNNNNNNNNNNNNUUUCAUAAUCUUUAAACAUGGGGGAGUGUUCUAGGAUAUUCUCUAUGUGUGCCUUGGCCUUAUGCCAAUAGGAUAUGUAGUUAGACUAGAUCUAUGUAUUCAUAUCCUUACCAUAUUGGUAUUGUGUAAUUCCCUAUAUAAAGGGCACCUAUCAAUGAAUAAGAUGAUGACUCUCUUGCUAUCUCUUUGUCUCUACACUUUAUCCUUCAUCACUAUGAGCCGCUUUGGACAUUGAUCAAAACUAGUGACAUCAAAACAUUAGCUACUAGUUUUAAUUUCAUUACUUUUAGACAUAUUUUAAGAGAAGCUAACUUUGUUCCCAAUGUCAUAACUAAUUAUGGGUAUUCCUGCAAUUUACAUUUCCAGUCUUACUAUUUGACAUUGUAAACAUUGGUUUUCUUAUAAAGAUAGGGUCUGGAUCAAUGGACAUUUUAUUUGACACAAAAUUUGACAUUAUAUGUCAGUCGUUAGAUAUAAAAGCAUCUAAUGGACUAGAUUAGCUAUGGUUAAUGACAUGGAAUUAGAUUUUUUCCUAACAAAAUUAUAAAAUAAAAUAAAAUAAUUAAUUAUCGCCAUAAAAAGAGGAAAAACAAACUUCAUCUUCUGAACAAAAUCUCCCCCAAAUCUAAACCCUAACAAUCAAUAAUCAUUCACUCAGACAUGAAAACUUAGAUCAUGAAAUAGUGGAACACAUUUGCUGGAAGCUAAGUAGAUUCGUGAAUGGUCCCACUAACGUAUAUACACAUGUAUAUAUUGAGUAUAUAAAUAAUUAAAUAUAGUUAUCUGGAUAGUAUUUUGAGUGUUGAUUUAACCCUAAUUCAAUCCCACGCCAUAUUCUUCUGAGGUUUUCUAUAUUUCAUGAUCAUACAUAGAAAUAAAUAGAACCAAGAUCAUGAAAUUAAAGCUCAAUUUCCCCUUCUUAUGUACCAUCAUAUUGCAAUUUAGGUUAAUGAUUUUUCGUCUUUUGGACGUUCUUGUUCAAGGGAUUAGUUUUUCUUCUUUUGUUCUUCCUCUUUUCAUGACGUGAUGUUGUUGAAAUCCGAGUUCAACCUUCUAAUUUAUUUAUUUUAUAGAAAGAUAAUUACUAAUCUAAUUUUAUUUUAAAAUUUUGUUAGGAGAAAUCUUAUUCCAUGUCAUUCACCAUAUUUAAUGUAGUCCAUUAGAUGCUUUUAUAUCUAACGACUAACAUACACAGUAUCAAAUUUUAUGUCAAAGUCUCUUGAUCGGGACCAUAAAGAUAAUAAGCAAAUAACGAAAAGACGACGUCGUUUUCCCCUUCCACCGCGGUGCCAAAUCUCAGGGGCUCGUGAGUCGUCGUCUCUCAGUUCUCCCAGUAAUCAAAUAUUCAUCUCUCCAGAAUCAAACCUCUUUUCAAGUCGAAGAAGACGAUCCUCUGCGUCUUUCUCUCUCUCCCCGCUUUCAAGGUAUGUGCUUAACCCUAAUUUUCCGCCUUAUUCAUCCCAAAAUCUCAAAAUUUAGAGACCCCAAUUCUCCCUUCUCAUUUUCACGGCGGUGUUUGUUGGCAGCCUGAGACAUCACAACGAUGGAGGAAAUGCUCGCCGUGAUCAUCUCCAUGUUCCUCGUCCUGGCCUUAAUUCCACUCUACCUAUGGAAACGCCGUCAGGAUUCUAGGUCGCCCAAAGAUCGCGAAGACGAGCCUCAGGUUUGAUUUUCGGAAAACCUAAUUUUAUUGCAAAUGCGGUUGUUCUAGGGUUUUUGGAAGAUUUAGUAGGGUUUUUGAGUGUUUUUGGAUGUAGUGUGAUUUUUGGUGGUGUGAUUGGUUGUUGAAUUAGGUUGCUCAGAGAGAGGCUGUGGUGCGUCCGGCCGGUAAUCUCCGGAUGCGGCGGAGGCCGGCUGCUGGAGCUAGCACGUCUGCCGCGGCGGCGGCACCUAUAGAAGGUUGAGCUCUUCUGCUAGUGUUAUUGUUGAAAUUAAAUGAAUUGAUAUGUGUUUGUUAGCGGUAGCGUUAAGAAUAAACUUUUGAUAAUGUUUGGUCUACUGUAAACUCUGCAAUUAGAUAAAUCUUUGUGUAGAAGAGGAGUGAUAGGGUUUAAGCUGUUUGGAAUGAGAAUACAAAACUGAGGCACUGAGAGAGAUGUAAGUUGAUGAUGUGCCAGUUAUUCAUUUUGAUAAUGUGUGUAGUUUCAAAGUUUGAACUUGUAGUUGACGAACCUUUUUGUAGUUCAGUUCAGCUAUUGGAUUGGCAAGUUUUCACUUUAAGGAAAAAUGUUUCUUUGUCUACUCUAAAAAUGUUGAGAAUGCGGUAUCAUGUCAGAUGAAGUAAUUAUAUUUGUUUUCUGAUUACAGAAGCUGCUGAUGGAAGUGAUGAUGAAGGUGUUGAGGAUGAGACGUAUGAAGCCAAAGCUUCAAGGAAAAAGGAAAAGAAGCGUCAAGAGCGGGAAGCACAGCGCCAAGUAUUGUUCAUUCUUAUAUUUAUUCAUUUGAGAGAUUACCCUCUCUCCUCUGUUCUGAUUAUUCUUUCUAGUAAUUGUAUAUGUGCCAAGAAUAUCAAUAUGAAAAUGGAAUCAUAAUAUUUCUAACUAAUCAUGUACAAUCACGUAGUUCUUUGGGAUUCUUAACAAGUUCGGUUACUACGCCCUUCUAUAGUAAGUUAUAAAUUUUUGAAACACAACAUAUUUAUGUAAUGAUUUCCAUUGCUCCUUGACGUCUCUUUGCAUUUGAUUUUUUGCUUUGCUUUUCCUUGCAAUUACAGACCAGUAGUUUAUUUUAAUGAGUUCCCUUCCUUUGUUUAAAGGCUGAACAAGCUGCACGGGACUCAAGGCAAACAAAACAAGAUCGCUAUGCGGAAAUGCGAAGGAAGAAAGAUGAGGAGCGGGAGGCACAAGAACGUCAGCUGGUGUGCCAAUUUUUUUUUUUUUUCCUGUUUUGGAAAAUAGAUGUACCUUUGUUUUGUUGGACUGCUAGUUGAAUAUAUGGCCACAUUAUUUUAUAGGAAGAAGAAGCCAAGGCUCUAAAAGCCAGGGAGGAGGAAGCUGCUGCAUUAGAGUUUGAGAAGUGGAAAGGAGAAUUUUCCAUAGAUGCUGAAGGUACUACAGAGAAUGAAGUGCAAGAUGGACAUCAGGAUUUGCUAUCUACUUUUGUGGAAUACAUAAAGGUAGGUUUCAAUACUGUGUAUGUUAACUCAUUUGAAAACUGUGUUCUCUAUUUUUGGCUAGCUCAUGACCUCUGUUGGGUUCACAUGAAAACUAGGGAUGGAAAUUAGCUACUUAGCUGGAAGUGUGCUUUGUCUCAAUUGUCCAAGAUGGUUGAGACAAAGUCAACUCGGUCUUAAGCUUAAUUGCUAAUCUUUUGUAGUCCUGGUUCAGAUUAGGUGAGCCAAGCUCAGAUGAGCCUACUCUGUUUUUGUAAAAUUAAAUUGGAUUCUGAAAUCUGAAUAAUGAAUCAAGCUAAAGAACAUGCAUAACCCUCUAUAACCAAUGUUUUCCCUCAAGAUAGGUCCACUGUUUCUUGAUUUUACACUUCCAAUAAUUGUUUUUGGUCAUUUUAUUACUUGUAUGAAACUUCACUAACCACAUGAAUUACUUUAGUUAACAAAGUGAGCUUCUGGGGGUCUAAGAUUGUUUAAUGUCAUUUGCAGAAACAUAAAUGUGUUCCCUUGGAAGAUCUUGCUGCUGAAUUUAAGUUACGGACUCAGGUAAUUUCCGUACUUGUUUUGCUUGAAUACCAUCUAAAUCAACAGUAAAUUUAUAAACAUCAGUAAAAGUGACACUGCACCCUCUAAGUGUAGGUGUUUUUCUGAUUGCACUAUUGUUUUUUCCAAGCCCAAACUUAUGUUUCAAAAUUAUCUGCAUUACACAAAUUUUCCCUAAGGCCAAACUUAUGUUUCAAUAUUAAUUAUGCAGUAAAUAUUGAUAUUUUUCUUCGAAGUGAUCAAUCAACUGAAAGUUGCUCGCUUCAUAUAAGACAUACUUUCUUUAUGCAAUCGAUUACAUAUCUUGUAUUUUCUUAGAUCCACAUUGUCUUUCAUUAUGCCUGGCUUGGCUUCCUAAUUUUGCAACACAACGUUUGUUUUAUGCAGGAAUGCAUCAACCGGAUCAACUCUCUGGAAAGUAUGGGUAUGUGGCACUUCCAUUUCCUCAAUUGACUUGUUUCACAUAUUGAAAAAUGAUUUCCUUAGGACGGUGAAAUGGCUUUUUUCUUUUGGGGUGCCUUACUGGGAAAUUUUGUUGUCUUUAAUUGUAUUAGGUCGACUUUCUGGUGUCAUGGAUGACAGAGGGAAAUAUAUAUACAUAUCCCAAGAAGAGAUGCAAGCCGUGGCGGACUAUAUUAAGCGUCAAGGGAGGGUUAGCAUUGCACAUCUUGCUAGCAAGUCUAACCAGUUCAUUGACCUGGAGCCAAAAGCCCAGUUCGUUGAAGAAAUCAGUAUUGUUGAGGAAAUUGCUGCCACUUAGAUCUGUUUAGUGUACUAUGUACAUGUAAAGUGCAAUUACAACAUAGUGUAAUGGUCAUCGUGUACACAUGGUUAACUUAACAUAUAACAGAGGGUCAAGAACUUGAGGAGGUAACAUUUUUAGAGAGCUUAUUUUAGAAUGUCUUUGCUGCAAAACAUUGAACUCUAUCCGCUCAAAAGGGUUAUCGUUGAGAACUGGAAAGAUAACGGUGUUUUCUCCAUCCGGUUUGUAGGUCUUAGAAUGAACAGUAGUCAUGCAUUUGACGAUUGUGUUAAGACUAUUGCUUGUAAUGCCUUCCAUAUAUAAGUUCAAGGGAAAAUGUAGAUAAUUUAUGGGAAACUGUCCAAAAACCUGACUGCAACACCAAGUUAACCAAGGUUCAGUCGUGACAACCUUCACACCAAGUUAACUAGGGUUCAGCCUUAGACAACCUUCACCAUCUUUUCCGAUUUCCAAAAAUACGCAAAUCGGAAAGAUGGUGAAGAGGUUGCCCUCAUCACUUUUGAGUUUCUACUUCACUCUAGGGUUGAAACAAAACCCUAGCCUAAUUAAGCCACACAAGUGACAGAACCCUCCAUUGAGCCUUCAACUAAACAACAUCCUUGUAUGGUAGAGCAAGAAGACCUAGAGCAAAAGACGUAAUACGCGGAUCCACACAAGCUUGAGAUUAUGAUUUGACAUUUGUAUACUUGCAGUAUGAUUACAGGGAGGUUGUAAACACUAAACAUGAUGAGUCGAGAAGCCGCUUACAGAGAAAUGCUAGAGGAGUUCAGUGACCGGUCAUCUUGAGGCCAGUACGUAUCUGCAAAAUCACAAAUGUUUUGUUUAGCUUUUCAUUCAACUAUUUUCAUCUACUUGUCAGGUUUCGAUAUUCUUGCAGCAGCCUAGUUUGGGAAAAUGGCGUUACAAGAGCAAAAGCCAAGGCACUUUUCUUUUCGUGAGGGGUGCACGUUCCCUUUGCUUGUCAACAAGCAGUUCGAGCUUAGCCUGGGAAGAUUGUAGAUGACUAUUGCUGAAGCUGAAGAAGCAUGUCAAAAUUGGCAAAUUAAUGAGGGAAACUAUGGAUGGUAUUUUUUUUUUUUUUUUGGGUUCAAGUAUGGAUGGAUUUGUUCGUCGACAAAUGCAGGCCCGAGAGAAAGAAGUGCAAAAUGUGCCUGUUUGUACAUGACGAUGCUAGAGAGAGCCAUGCAUGCUUUGGUUUUUGUUCAAUUAUUUGGACGACCAAACAGAUGUAUUCAGUAACUUUCCAAUACUGAAGUCUUGAUUCCUUUACAGUUUUGUGGCUCUACAAUGUAGUCGAAGAACUAGAAACAGAAUGCCUGCAGUUAGAUGUACAAACAUACUCCAUCCUUUCAAUUCAAUUCAUUUCGAUUCUUUAGCAGUGAACUUACUUAUCAUGGAAUAAUGAACGUUUCUGCUAACUCUAGUUGAGAUAUAUUAGAUGUACAAACGUACUCCAUCCUUUCAAUUCAAUUCAUUUCGAUUCUUUAGUAGUGAACCUACUUACCAUGGAAUAAUGAACGUUUCUGCUAACUCUAGUUGAGAUAUAUGCAUGGCUCCUGUUUUCGUAGCCUUCAUGGAAAGGGCUGGCUUUGGUUCAAGCUAGUCACAGGUUCUAGAUACCACAGAGACCAAGUGUGGCAUAAAGCUUGGUAUAUCUCAGAAUGUGGGAGGAAAAUAGGACUGCUUUUCUCAUAAAUUUAAAAGUGACAUCUAUAUGGUUACAUAAAAUGACUUUGCUCUUUGUUUUUUUUGGCUGCCAUUUUCUUUUUCUAAAAAUUCUUUUUAUUUGUUAUUAAGGUUUCUUUAUUUUGCCAGACGCACCAUAGCAAAGCGACGUAGCAGUGGCACCAAUGGUUAGAAGAAAGACUUCGUCGUUUUACUAAGUUAUGGAACAGUUUUGCCAGCUCAAACCAGCUGAAGUCCAAACCAGAAAUUUCCUUUUUUUGUACUCAGCAACAAACUCGUUAACAAACAGUGCAACUCACACAGGGAAUAAGGGUCGUCGUUUGAUAACAGUCUUUUGCGUCCAUGCUAUUUACGUCUUGUUUUUUCCUACAAUGUCUACCAUGAAUUAACCAACACUUUGGCUUUAAAGCAUGGCUGCCAAUAUUGCAAGCAAACCGAAGCUCGCGCUAAAACUAGAGGAAGAGAAUUGAGCUUGACCCAAUCUUCCAGUGUCUUUCUCCCUUCAAAAAUUUAUACCAUCCCAUCUCUCUCUCCUGUGGGGUUUUACACAGACCUCCCCGGCAUCCCCACACGCCGCGUUCUCGCGCGGCCUGUGCUCAAUCAUUCUUUCUUUUUCUGAUAAUCCAAUUAGCCACAACCCUGAAUAAUAAGACGGUUCUUCCAAACACAAAUAAACAUAGAGCCUUUCCGAUACAUCUGAAAACAAUGGAAACAAGUUCGAGCAUGAAGAUCCCAUGGAGCUUGUUGUUUCUAUUGUUUUUAGGGGUGUUUGCUGCUAGGGUUGAAGUUAGUUACGGACAAAAAGCAGCCAAACUAGGAGCAGGAGCAGGCGCCAGUGGAGGUGGCGACGACGGAGGGGACGGAGACAAGCCGGCUCCUCCGCCGGAGCAAGAAGACUGCGACGGCAUCUUCUUGACCUACACGUUCAUCUCGCGCGAGAAGGAAUAUCCGCGCAAGAAGAACGUGUCGGCGCAAGCGUGGGCGUUCACGUCGGAGGCGAGCAUCUUGAACGCCGGGACCGAGACGCUCAAGGCUUGGAAGAUGUACGUAGGGUUUCAGAAUCGAGAGAUAUUGGUGUCGGCCGACGGGGCUGUGUUGGUGGACGGUAGUGAUUUUCCAGCCUCCGUUGGGAAAAAUGGGACGUACCUUUCAGGAGAUCAACAAACCGACUUGAAGAACUCCGUCGAUACGGCCGGGGAUAUCGAACAGAUUCAGGCAAAGAUUGCUUUCAAGGGAACACAGUUUGGCCUCCCGGCCAAGGCAGUACCCAUGCCCAAGACCAUUCGCCUCGUCAACGACGGAUACAAGUGCCCUGCACCUCGUAUUCGUGGUACGUUCACUGACAUCUGGAUGCAUGCAUGCACACAUAAUCAUACAACAAACAUACGUGAAUGAUGAAGAUGAGAGGACAUAAUACAAAUACCAUGAUGAUCAUUACAUAUAAAUAUAAAUUGUUAUGAAUCGUUACGACUGCACUAUGCACUUACACAUUGUGCGUUUCUGGAUUGAUGAUUUAUGUUGUGUUUGAUGGUGAUCCGAGCAGGAAAGACAAACAUGUUCGUAUGCUGUGUACCGGACCCAAAGUUCAAGGUGAAGAAAGACGAUAAGGACUCCAAAUUCUUGCCUAGACAGAAUGGUGACCUCUCCAUCACAUACGAUGUGCUGGAUUCUUAUUCAAACAACUAUAUGGCUCAAGUCACCAUCGACAACUUGCACCCACUCGGCCGUCUUGACCACUGGAACUUAACCUGGGAAUGGCAGAAGAACGAGUUCAUCCAGACCAUGAGAGGCGCCUAUACUCACAAGAAGGACAUGUCCGAGUGCCUCUACGGCCCGGCCGGAAAAGCAUACAAGGACAUGGACUUCUCUAAGGUCAUGAACUGUGAAAAGAAGCCUACCAUCACCGACCUCCCACCGACGAUGAAGGAUGACGAGAAGGUUGGAAAGCUGCCCAAGUGCUGUAGAAACGGCACCAUCUUACCGACUAUCAUGAACGAGACGCAGUCACAGGCACAGUUCCAGCUCCAAGUCUUUAAGCUUCCACCUGAUGAUAAUAGAACCGCUCUCACUCCACCACAGAAGUGGAGUAUCUAUGGCCCUGUGAACCCUAACUACGUAUGUGGACCUCCGAUCAGAGUCGCACCGACUCUGUUUCCCGACCCGAGCGGCCUCCAGUCUACGACAGCUGCAGUUGCAUCUUGGCAAGUGGUACGCAUUUUUCACCAAAUUUGUAUACCAAAUAAUGUUUUGAUGCACACCAAUGCAUAUCAACUGUGUUGUUCUUAAAAUUGAUGGUGUUUCCAAACAGGUAUGUAACAUAACCAAGCCAAAGGUGCCUCGCUGCUGCGUUUCGUUUUCCGGCUACUUCAGCGAGUCAAUUGUGCCGUGCAACACUUGCGCUUGUGGCUGUAAAGAAGAUGAGAACCCUAACUGCGACCCAAGAGCCAAGGCAAUGCUUCUACCAGCAGAAGCACUCCUUGUGCCUUUCGCCAACAGAACUCAAAAGGCAAAAGCGUGGGCCAAAAUCAAGCACUUUGACAUACCCAAAAAGCUUCCAUGCGGAGACAACUGUGGAGUUAGUCUCAACUGGCACAUAGACUCGGACUACCAGAGUGGAUGGACAGCUCGUCUAACUCUCUUUAACUGGGGGAAGGAACCAUUUCAGGAUUGGUUCACGGCAGUAGAAAUGAACAAGGCUUUUCUAGACUAUGAAAAUGUGUACUCAUUUAACGGAACGAGAAUGGCCAAGCCGAAAAACACCAUCUUGUUCCAGGGUCUGAAAGGUUUGAACUACUUGAUAGAAAUGAGAAAUGCGACCAACCCAAAAGACCCUCGGGUACCCGGAAAGCAGCAGUCGGUUAUUUCUUUCAAGAAGCACCACUAUCAUGGUAUUAAUAUAAAGGCUGGUGAAGGUUUCCCAUCAAGAGUCUUGUUCAAUGGAGAGGAGUGCUCACUUCCUAAGCGAUUCCCCAACGGCGCAGAUCAUCAGGCCAGUAGUAAUGUCCUCCUCAUCUUGUUCGUUGCAAUUGCGAGUUUUGUGUUCAUGACAGACCGCUUCCACUGAUCGAUGAUCGGCAAAAGGUUCUUGAUUCCGGUAAUUCUAUGAUAGACUCACCAAAUUAUAAGCUUAUUUGCCAAAUGAUGUGAUAAUGUGUUAGUGUUUGUGUGUAAGGUAAUAUCUAGCUUGUUAGAAAUAAAUGAUCGAGGUCCAUAAGGGAUCUAAAUUUGAAUAAAUAUAUCAAAACACUCCCGCAUCAUUUGGUAAAUUAAUUGAAUUUUGUUGUAUAUAGAGCUAGCUAGGAAAGUUAGUGUUAAUUUUAAUGAAUGAAUCAAGUGAUAUUUUUCUUCAUAUAUAUGAUACUAUCAUGGAUGUUCUAUCUCAGCUGCAAGAGGAACGAUGUUUAUGCAGUCACGCAGAAAAAGAACUGAGUGAUGCUUGCUAGCUACCAAGUCGAGUACGUCCCGGCCAUAAGCCGAUGAGGAAGAUUGUAAUUAGUGAAAACAGACGAUAUAUGAAAAAUUUGUAAAAUUUUUUAGCUACUUGCAGUUACUAUAUACAACUGAGCAGACUCACUUGGUGAUUUUGUUUUUAGCAUUAAUUUUCUGGAUAUUCAUAGUCCACAACUCUUAAUGUUUGUAAUGUUAGUUCCAAAUGUUAAAGUAUCAAGUUGGAGAUAACAUAUGGCAAACCAAUAUCAAACUUGGGACAAAUUCCAAUGAAUUGAUCGAGGAUCCUUGUGUUUUAAUAUAAGAACGUACAUGCAGCUGGGACUGCAUUUUUUAGCAUCUCUAGAUGUAGCAAUGUGAAGGAUUAGGGUCCUCUCCUUGGUUGCAUCCAUCCUUUUAGCUUAUUCAAAGAAAGCUGGCCUGGAAUAGUGUGAUUCUCCUUUUUUUGGUGUCCACUAUUGAAACACAUAAGGAAAGCAUCCUUAUCGAAUAAGACUGUGAUCCUCAUCACUUUGUAACCGUAUAGGCAGUGAUAUGCUUUAGCAUUUUUCCUUAUCAAAUCCUACAAGUUAGGAAGCUGUUGUAUAUAUAUUGUAUCAUUGUUGACAUAUCAAUACAAGAAAUCAUUCUACCAAAAUAUCUUUUAUUAUGGUAUCAGAGCCUUCGUGCUCUUGAGACCUCCCUUUUCCACAAACCCUAGAUCGACAAAAACCCUGCAAACAUAAUGACAGGAGAGCUUGUAAACACCGAUGCAAAACCCCAAUCGGAUGCAACAUCGUCUCAGAAAGCACCGGCAUGGGAGAACUCAAACCAUCCUCCAUUACCCUCUCUGAACAAGACUUACUCUCUUGCUCUUCGACAUGAAAAGCAGGCUGCAGUUGCUACUGGCAAGGUUGCCUCCUCUUCCGAAUCAGCAGCAGCGUUUCAUGUUGCCUCACAGGCUGUUGAAAGCACGGAUGCUUACGUGCGCAAGACAGAACAGCGUACCAACACUGAAGAAAAGAUCCGAUGUGAGAAGUGUGAUCGUACCAAUCACACAACCAAGAACUGCAAAGCACACUUACGUUGCACCUAUUGCAACUGGAAGGGCCACAUAUGACAAUUGUCGGAGAAGAAAGGCCGCUAUAAAUGGAGAAGGCACAAACAAAGCCACAAGCAAUCAUGUUGCAGCGGUUUGUGAUGCACAAGCAGGAGCAGGAACGAUCACCGGUUUUUCGUUCUCAAAGAAAGAUUGUACGCGUCUUAUCGAGCUGUUGCACCAAACCAGAACAGGAUCCUCACACCAAGCUGGUAACAUCUCAAACUAUGAGGAACUUUCGGGUAAGGCUGCAAUCCUAGCUAAUAAUUGUUGUAAAACACCAACAUGGCUCAUAGACAGUGGUGCAAGCGAUCACAUCGUUUGUAACACUCAGUUUUUCACUAAUAUGCGGCCUGCCAUCAACUAUACCGUGAAGCUCCCAUCUGGUUCAUCUGCAGCCGUGACACAUAUUGGGACAAUAAUGUUCUCAACAUGCUUUAAACUUGAGAACGUAUUAUGUGUCCCAUCAUUUUAUCUUAAUUUGAUAUCUGUAAGCAAGUUGGCAGGAGAUUCAUUCUCUGUAACAAUAUUUCUAAGACAAGUUUGUGUCAUACAGAAUAUAGGGACAAUAAUGUUCUCAACAUGCUUUAAACUUGAGAACGUAUUAUGUGUCCCAUCAUUUUAUCUUAAUUUGAUAUCCGUAAGCAAGUUGGCAGGAGAUUCAUUCUUUGUAACAAUAUUUCUAAGACAAGUUUGUGUCAUACAGGACCUUCGAUUGGGGAGGAUAAUUGGGAUGGGAACUAAGAGGGAGGGAGUUUACUGCCUCGAUACACACUAAAAAGGAACGUGCAAUGCGAGUCAAGUUCGAACACCAAGUCUCUGGCAUCAACGCCUAGGUCACCCAUCUCAUCGAGUUUUAUCAUUAUUUCCCUUUUCCAAAGACACAUCUUGUGCGCCAAUUUGCCCUUUGGCUAAGCAAACUAGACAGCCUUUCUCUUUGAGUACUAGUUUCAGUAAUGUUUGUUUCAAGUUAAUUCAUGUUGACAUAUGGGGUGGUUACCAUGUUCCUUCACUUACCGGGGCACAAUAUUUCUUGACCAUAGUUGAUGAUUAUUCUCAGGGCACAUGGGUUUACUUAAUGAAACACAAAUCCGAAGCACGUCUCCUUCUUGUCAAUUUCAUUCAAAUGGUCGAAACUCAGUUUGAUAAACAAGUCAAAACAAUUAGGAGUGAUAAUGGUCCUGAAUUUGUCAUGCCUGUUUUUUACUCAUCCAAGGGUAUAGAACAUCAAACAAGUUGUGUCAAUACUCCCCAACAAAAUGGCGUUGCCGAAAGGAAACACCGACAUCUUUUGAACGUUUCUUGUUCACUUCUUUUUCAAGCCAACCUUCCAAAACAUUUUUAGGGUGAUGCAAUAUUAACUGCAUGUUAUCUCAUUAAUCGGACACCUACUCCUCUCUUGCAAGGUCAAACUCCUUUUGAAAGAAUUUUCUCAAAGAAGCCAAGUUAUGAACAUUUACGAGUCUUUGGUUGUCGAUGUUCCGUUUCUACACAUCCUUCCAAGCCUAGUAAAUUUGCUCCCCGGUCAAUUGAAUGCAUUUUUUAGGGUAUCUGCAAGGUAAAAAGGGUUACAAGGUCUAUCACUUGAAAGGCAAAAAAACCUUGGUAUCGCGUGAUGUGCUCUUCUUUGAAGAUAAUUUCCCUUACACUACUCUUGUCACCGAUCCUUCUGAUUCAUAUCCAAGAUAUUCCUCAAAUCCCUCAAUCCUCACAGAAGAUCUCGGCAAUCCACAUUCACAUUUCAAAACGGCUGAAAACCCUAGCUUGUGCACAUCAUCAGAAAAUUCUGAAACUGCCUUUAGGGUUUCUACAGGUGACACUUCUAACCCUAGUAGGAAUUCUCAUGACAUUCAAACUUCCUCGGUAGAAUCAUCUGAUAGUUCGGCCACUCCACAUAUCACGCAGAUACCUAUCACAUCUUCCGCUGAAAAUUCAAAUCCAACCACCAUCACAUCUUCUGAUUCAAAUCAAACACAACUUCCUUUUCCAAACACAACUCUACCACAUACAUCGAGUCCUUCUGCCUCCAUUGAGUCAAAUCCGUCAAUGUCAUCACCAAAUCCUCUCCGUCGUUCAACUCAUCCGACAAAGGUUUCUACCAAAUUGCAUGACUUUCACAUCGAGGCAGCUCUCCCCUCAUGUACUGUUUCAACGUCCUCUUUAACCGAGGUCAACACUUCAGGUACGGCUCAUACAUAAGCCAAUGUAAUUUCAUAUGAUAGACUCUCUACUCCUCACCGAGCAUUUACUGUUGCUCUAACAUUGCAUCGAGAGCCUACAUCUUAUUCUCAGGCCGUCCUGGAUCCCAAUUGGCGAGAGGCCAUGCACAAUGAAAUUCGUGCCUUGGAAGCUAAUCAUACUUGGAGCCUUGUGUCACCACCUGCUAAUAAGCGCCCCAUCGGAUGCAAAUGGGUAUACAAAAUCAAGUACAACCCCGAUGGCAGUAUAGAGAGGUACAAAGCUUGCCUUGUUGCUAAAGGAUAUAGUCAGGUGCAAGGGAUUGAUUAUCAAGAAACAUGUGCUCCCGUUGCCAAGCUAACAACGGUAUGUGUCCUCCUCAGUUUGGCAUCCAUGCAUGGUUGGCAUCUUCACUAACUUGACAUUAGCAAUGUCUUCUUAAAUGGUGAUUUGUACAAAGAAGUUUACAUGCAACUUCCUCUUGGAUUUGGAGGAAAGGGGGAGACUCGGAUAUGCAAAUUACACAAAUCACUCUACGGUCUCAAACAAGCUUCAAGGCAAUGGUUCAUCAAGUUGUCUAAUGAAUUAGAGGCAGCUGGUUUCAAGAGGAGUUGGUCGGACUACUCUCUUUUUGUCCGUGAUUACAAAGGCAGAUUCACUAUCCUCUUGGUUUACGUUGAUGACAUAAUUCUAGCAGGCAACAAUCUAGAAGAUAUCACGACAGUGAAGCAAUUUUUAGCCAGCAAAUUCAAGCUAAGAGACAUGGGAGUGUUGAAAUAUUUCCUUGGAAUCGAAGUGGCCAGGUCUAAGCAAGGCAUUGUUUUGAGCCAAAGAAAGUAUGCUUUGGAGAUAUUGGAGGACUCAGGCUUUCUCAGAGCAAAACCCUCAAAGUUUCCCGUCGAAUGUAACACUGCCUUGACACAAGAUGGCGGCAAGUUGCUUAGUGAACCAGCUCAAUAUCGAAGACUGGUAGUAGACUCAUCUAUCUUACCAUAACAAGACCGGACCUCGUCUAUGCAGUGCACAUCCUCAGCCAAUUCAUGGCAAAACCGAGAGAACCACAUCUUGAGGCUGCACAUAGAGUAUUGCGGUACUUGAAGCAAACACCAGGGCAAGGUUUGCUGAUGCCCUCUACUGGUACACUACAAUUAAGAGCUUAUAGUGAUGCAGAUUGGGCUCGUUGCAAGGAUACUAGAAGGUCAGUUACUGGUUAUUGUAUUUUUAUGGGUAAUGCACCUAUUUCUUGGAGGACAAAGAAGCAAGGUAUUGUUUCUAGAUCAAGUGCAGAAGCAGAAUAUCGAUCCAUGGCUUCUACUUGUUGUGAAGUUACAUGGUUGCAAAACAUAUUGAAGGACCUAAAUGUCACAGGUACGCAACCAGCAUUACUUUUCUGUGACAGCCAAGCAGCUUUACAUAUAGCAUCCAAUCCAUUUUUUUAUGAACAAACAAAGCACAUAGAGAUUGAUUGUCAUGUUGUUCGUGAAAAGAUACAAAGAGGUUUGGUUAAGACUGCCUACAUUCGGACACAGGAUCAACUGGCGGAUUUGUUCACAAAGCCGAUUAGUUCACAGCAGUUUACGGAGCUGUUAAGUCUACUUAACAUAUACUUUAACUUGAGGGGGAGUAUUGAAACACAUAAGGAAAGCAUCCUUAUCGAAUAAGACUGUAUGAUCCUCAUCACUUUGUAACCGUAUAGGCAGUGAUAUGCUUUAGCAUUUUUCCUUUGUCAAAUCCUACAAGUUAGGAAGUUGUUGUAUAUAUAUUGUAUCAUUGUUGACAUAUCAAUACAAGAAAUCAUUCUACCAAAAUAUCUUUUAUUAUCCACCAAACGACUCUUUCUUGUCAUCGGGAUCUUUGUUGGAGUUCUCUUUAUGUUGAAACUUUAGCUGGUUUGUGAGUGAAGAAAUCUCCCUUUCUUCGAGGGUCUUGUGUAGUUCUGUAAGUUUUCGAUUGCCUCGGUCAUUUAGGUCAAUCGUUCUUUGGUUAUAGUGACUUCAGUCACCAUGCCUGCAUAGCAAAAGAAGCAUCGUCUGGAAACAUUGUCAUAAUCUCUUCCAUUUUGAGUCAUCGCCCCUUGACUCCUUGAGUCGGGUAAUGAAUGAAGGAGACUGUCGUCUUCUUGAGUCUGUUGCCCCCAGCGACAUAAAAGAGAAGGUCACAGGCGGCUAUCAGACUUAUAUUGUGUGUUGUUUGCACAAUCAGACUUAUCAGUAUUGUGUUGUUUCUUCAACACAUUUUGAACGAUUUGAUCAGUUGGUUGUCUUUGAUGUAGCUGCCUUGUUUGUCUCAUUCACUAAUGUAAAUUGAAUCGUCUUCAAAACCAUAUUCAGGAUUGAAGUUAGCAGCUUAAAGUUGUUGAAGGAGAUGAAAGGCAUAGAUGUCCCAGUGUAUACGCAUCAUCUUUUUUUCCUCUCAUAAUAUCAUUACAUAAAACACAAGAUUACACAUAACAUAGGCCCUCUUGAUGGUUUACAAAUUACAGGCCUAUAAAGAAUGUUAUCAAUAUACAAAUAAUUGGGAUCAACUUAAUAAACACCGCUUGCUUUUGUGGCAACAUUGAGGUUGGACCAACUCUGCAGCUCUGUAAACUCUAAACCGAGACUGGGAAAAAAAAGUAAAGAUCCCUUAACAAAGAAUGCAAAGAACAUUCCUUCUUGAUGUGCCAAAGUUUUAUGUGGAUGCUGAUGCUAUGUUUUCUGAGCCUGCAGUAUCAACACAAAAUUAUCAGUAUAAGUUACAGUACCAGGACCAUGAAUCAGCUCGUACUGAGCAUAACAAAUACAGAGAUAAAGACAUCCUGAAAUUUGAUAGCAUUGCCAUCAAAUACAAGAGUGCUAAAAAAUGCAGUACCUUUUUAAGAUAUUUCUUGUGAAGUUUCAUUGCCCCACUGCAAGCUUUUUUGGCAUCUAAAUUUCCAGUUAUGUCAUUCAAUAUCUGCGGAGAGUCAACAGACAGGAAAAGUAAACAAGGUAAAGUUCAUCUCCAGAAUUGAACAACUCGACUCAAUAAGCAUAAAAAAUGCUUCACAACUGCUUUGAGUACUCCAGAAAAUUCAAAAUUAUGUGGCGUUUCUUAUAUAUGGGUCUUUCAACGUAUACUGAUCAUCUGAAGAUGAAACUAUAGCAUCAAAUUUUGUUCAGAUCAUGUUUUAACUACUGCUGAUGAUAUUAGAUAGUUAGAAGGAUGGCUAAUUAACUGACUGCUCAAGUUUUAUUUUUAAGUCAUCAGAUUAGACAUCAAACUUGAUGCAACUUUAAAGCGUCUUAGUGACUCCUAGUUUGGAUACCAGAACCGAAGGCUAUGGGGCUUGCUUACUCUCAUUUCACUCACGUUCUUUGUUCUUCUCUUUCAAAACAACUUUAAGAUUUCCAAUUCAAAUCUCUAAUUUAGAAUGGGUCCUUAAUAACUGGUGAAUGAUUGACUUCAUCAGUAGCAAGCUCUGACUUGCUGUUCCCUAUGUUUUCUACUUAAAUUAUGUAGAGUCCCUGUCAAAUGAAGCAGCAAAUUGAAGGUUCCCAAGGCAUUGCAAUUCAUCAAUUCAUAAUCUAACCUUAACAACAUCAUCGAGACCCCGAGCUUCUGUCAGUAAUUUUGAGCUCUUAUCUUUUAAGACACUGGCAACAAGGAAAAUGGAUAUUGGGAGAGGUGCUUCUGAACCUUUCACUUUCAUAUUUUCCCUCUCAUACUUCCCAUAAUGACGUUUCGACUUUGAUUUCCCUUUAGAAGAUCCAGAUCCCUCAGCCCUUUCACCAUCAGUAUCAGAAUCUUCAUAUACACUGUACAAGUCAGGGUCAUACUCAAGAGCCCACAUCAUCUGUUAGAAUUGAGGAAAAAAAUAUUACUAAGGCAAAUAGAGAUACGAGGGUUAAGAUGCAGGAAAACAGAUGCACACUAGUUCAUCAUCAUGCAUAGACCAUGUGCACAUACACACCUACGUAUGCAUGUUACAUAUAUAUAACAUGGAUAUAUGAUGAUGACAAAUACAGUAUUCCUUUUUUUUUUUCCAUGAAUAAUGUAAUAUCAAAUUGAAGUCUUGCCUCCAUUCUAACUUUAACCUGAUCCAGUUAUUUCCCAAGUUAAUCGUUUCAAUACAAAAUGCCUGUGAUAGCUUCAAUUAUUUUCCCUUCUAAGCAUUUGCCAAUUAAAGUAAUAAUCUUGUAUCUUUAGCUUAGAAAAGAUUGCCCACUACAAAUGAUUAUGCAGAAAUUUGAAAUCAAAGGAAUCUAGAAGUGGAGGUAAGUUUUGACAAACUGGCAGUGCUAAAUUGUUGCAAAUAUUUCCUGAACAUAUAAUGCACAAAUACAAAGACCAUUAAAGAUAGACAGCUGCUUUUAGAAUUCCUAGAAAAUCAUUUUGCACUCUAAAAAUCAAUAUUUUAUUAUUUCCAUAGACUUGAAGCAUAAGUGAAGAGGAGAGACAGGGUGCUAUUUACAUUUCCCUAAAAAAAAUUUGCAUAAAAAUGCACAAUACCAAUGCAAUCUCACCUCCCAAAGGUAUAAUGAAUCACAAAAAGAGAAUUCCCGACGGAACAAAACCAUAAGCAUCCGAAAAGCGAAUAAAUAAUCACCUCCACCUAGUGUCUCUGUGAAAAAAAGAAAAGAAAAAAAGAGAGCCUUUUUUGUUAAUAUCUUUACUCGAAAAUGCACAAAAAAGUAUGGUAUACACACAAACAGACAAUUUUAAUAAACAACUCCCCAGCGAGCAAGAAAGUCGGGCUCUCCAAAUGAUAUAUCAAAAGCCAAGAGUUGAUAUCAUAUUAUGAUUAAGUACAUCUAACAAAAGAACCUCAUAAAGUAACAUUGGUGAAGCAUAAAUUUCACAAUUAGCUUGGGAAGGAAAAAAGCUUUAUACGCUGAACUAUGACAUAAAUAUCAAGCGUAGUACCAAAUGUGAAGCAAAUUUCAAUCAAUACCUAAGUGCUGAUGAAGUUUUGGAUCAAUGACUUGAGUGAUUGCCGCCAAAUUACUUAGUUGUGCCUCCACCCCGACAGAGUUAUCAGUACAUCUGAAAUUUCCUCGCUUUAAAUUUCAAAUACACAAGUCAUAAGAAACUGGAAUCCAUGUUGAUAAGCAAAAAAAAACAGUAAAUAUCUUGACAGAAUGAGGGAAAACCAUGAAAACUUCAAAUAGAAAGAUUACAGCUACUUUCAAUCAAACAUUGAUUUCCUCAAUUAACUUCAGGAAACAAUAACCUAGCAGGCCCUUUUCCCCAAGACAAGCAUAGAGAAAAGGCCUGUGGGAUCACUUACACACACAAGUGCGUGCCUCACUAAGUAAAGAGCAGGCCAUACUUUAUGAUUGACUGAAAGCAUUAGGUAAUCACCACAUGCUAUGUUACUGGUUUAAUAUAAUACCAGAAUGAAUAUAUAAUUCCACAGGAUCAGUUCAAAAAGUUACCAGUCUGCGCAUCAAACGUUCAAAACACCAAAAUGCAUCAGCUUCAUCAUCGAGAAGGAUAAUCAUGGGGGAGCAAAGAUCACUCAUUCCUGCUCAACAUGGAGAUAAAAUUCAGCAUUUAUGACAAUCAUUUUGUGGAAAAAAAAAUCAAAGAAAUUUUUUCAACUCCAAGUGUGUAGGAAGGAACCCCAGAAAUCAACAUAAUGGAUAUUUUAAUCAAGAUACAGGAGUAGCAAGCUAAUCAUUCAUAUAUCAACGACCUUGACAGUAGCCAACAUCUGUAUCUAUCCAAGCAUAAACAGCUAGAAUAUCCCAAAGUUUUGAUAAGUUUUCUUGCUUCUCGUAAAACACUAGCGUCCUGUCAGUCCGAACCACGUCAAGCCCUGGCAUAUUUACACAGCCAAAUAAAAUCUUAUUUACUGUGUAAACAGAAUUUUGAGAAAUCUAUAAUUCAUCAGGUAUCAUCAGUAUGUCACAUAUAGGGCGUAUGUGAUGUAAAGAGUUGUAAACCAAUGCCACAAGUUAUAUUUAUCAAAAUAUGUGAAGAAAUGUCGAAAAUAGCUAACCGAUAAAAGAAAAA